rnacentral:tRNA from 2 species
CGGAGUAGCUCAACUGGUAGAGCAACUGACUUGUAAUCAGUAGGUUGAGGGUUCAAGUCCUUUCUCCGG